rnacentral:lncRNA from 1 species
GUAUAAUCCAAGAUACUAACCUGUACCUCUGAUAGUCUCCUUCAUCCUUGUCUUUGCAGACUAGUUCAUUUGGGCAUGCUGUAUUUCCAAGCAAACUCAGGUACUCCAAGGAAGGCACUGCUUCAACCAGAUGAUCCAGCAGGCUUUCCAGUUCUGUUAUGUACUCAAGAUUACGAGUUAAGGAUUCAGUAACAAAAGGAAGACUGUUAAAUAACUCCAUUUACACACACACACACACACACACACACACACACACACGACCCAUAUUAUAUGCGGGGAAAUGUAACAUUAAUUGGUGCUAGCAGAAAGGGGACUACAUCCAAGUCAUUUUUUGGCAUAAAAUGAAAGGUCUUGGGUCCCCCUCCUUCAUUAUUUUUUCCUCCUCUUUUCUUCUUUUCUAGAUGACUCUCUGCAACACAUUAAAAACUUUGACAAAAUGAUGGAUGUCGGAUGGGGAAAUGGUUAGUGAUUGCUAAAGCCAUGAAACUUUUCCAACAUGGCAACAAGCAGCAGUUACUUUCACAGUACAUUCAUCACUAAAUGUAUUACAGUCCCUAGGAAAAAUGAGAUUUAAAAUGGAGUUAAAUGACAGCAGCCCAAAUGCACCAGAAAGAAUAAAAGUGCUUUUGGUGGCACUGUGGCAUUAAUUGGUACAUAGGCACAAAUGCUUGAUCAAAUGUUACCAGGAACCCGUUGGUAUUCCUGCUCCACAGUUUAUAACACACACAACUUCAGAGUGGAAGGAAACAGUAAAACCUGCCAUUAAAGUGGUAGAGUGACCACAUGAAAUCUUACAUUGAAGUUGAUUUAAUGCAUCCACUACAAACAUACACACAACUCCCAAAACAGGCUAUAAAGGAUUUGUAGUCCAGUUCUAGGUUGCUCAAGAAAGAAAGAAAGAAAGAAAGAAAGAAAGAAAGAAAGAAAGAAGUACCACAAGUAUUUCUGCAAUCAGAGCUGGACUUUUCCAAAGUUUGGGCUUUUGUGUCAAAAUGUACAUACAAGAGUGUCUAGUGCACAGUUUCCAAAGGCUUGAGAACCUUCCUAAAUCUGGCACUGUGUUAUGGGUGCUAACUUAAAGACUUCAAAGCCGCCGCCCCCCAGACCCUUUAAGAAGAAACAUAAACCCAGGUUCUUUGGAACUCCUUGUUCAGUUCCUUAAGAGUCCUGCUUUGCAUCUAGGAUUUGGAAGGCAAGUGAAAACAGGGAAAUCUUGGUUCCCACAGAUCCACCAUAGAAAUCAAAGAUGGGGCAUGGAAGAUAGGUAUGGGGAAAGGAUGCCAAAUUGGUUGUGCAGGCUGAAAACCAUUCCCACCCAAACAUUGCCACACUGCUGGUGCACGUGACAUGAAUAGCACUAGUAACAUGUCAGGUUAAAAAAAAAAAACUGGCAUAAAACUAGCCUGAGAAAUCCCAGAAUGAAGGCUCACAAAUGGGGAUCAGCAUCAUGAGGAGGCAAGGUGUGCUAAUACCUCAUGCCAAUUGGCAAAAGGUGAAGGGCACAUUCAAGCCGCUCUGCUUCUUACUCUUUGUUUCUCUGCCCUUUGUUCUAAUUGAUUUAGUGCUGCAAAUUCUCAUUUUCUCUGUUUUCUCUUUUAAACUGAUUCUUGUUAGUUUAUGGCAACCCUGCAUUAGCUGUAUUUUACUACUUUAUUAUAAUUUUGCUUGUUUUAAUGCCUGUAAGCAGCCCAAAGAACUUCAGCUAAAGGGCAGCCUAUAAAUUGCAUGUAUCAAUAAAUAAACAAUGGAACAAAUUACUGGUUUAAAUGAACAAUUCACUCUUUUACUCUCCCAUGCCUGGAGUUGUGUGCAACAAUUAUUAUGUGGCUAUCUUAAAUGCUUGGUUCUUUUAUGUUGCUUGUCCCCAGCAUUGAUUUAUGUUUUCCUGUUAUCUUUGUUAUCUCUUGCAGAUGGAAUGUACCCCAUUUCUUCACCUCAAUAACUGAAGGGCAAGGGUAUCACCACAGGAUAGAAACAGAACUUUUGCCCUUUAAGACCUUCCCUUCACUACAUGCACUCCAAUUUGCAUCUUAUUUGCAGCAGCCAACAAGCAAUUGGGAGACUUAUCAUAUACAGCAUAAUGCUUGUGGUAGGAUUCCACCCCCACCCUCAUUUUUCAGAUACUGGGCAAAACAACACAUGGAGCAGGAUGAAUGAAGCAUAUGAACAGUUCAGUUUUUCCAUUUUAAUUCAGCCACAGUGCUCCAGAUUUAGUCAGAACAGCAUUAGACUUAAUCCUUCCCCCCAUGGCCCAUUGUUUUGACAACAAUUGCCCUUCCCAGGAUAGUUGUUCAGUCCACUAAGAGGGGAAAAGAUGCUGGCCCACAUCUUUUCAACUACAGGGAGGAAAGCAGAGUGCAUAGGAUGAUCUUUAGAGGGCAAGCAGUCCAUGGAGAAAGGGUUAAGUCACCUCUUCCCUCUGUUUCUCCUCAAUUCAUACCCACUAAUACAAGAGCAAAUUGGUGCUUAGAGGGUGUGAAGACAGACUAUGGGGAAAAAGAGGGAGCCAGUCGCAAGAGUGGUGGUGAUGUUGAAGACAUUAAAACCAAACAACAACAAAAACUUAUAAGCACAGCUAUACAGAUAAAACAUAGGUCCCGCCAAAAUAAGAGAGGCCACAAUGCCACCAUUCAAAUUUAAAAAGGUAAAGGUAAAGGACCCCUGACAGUUAAGUUGCGAUGCUCAUCUCGCUUUACUGGCUGAGGGAGCCAGCGUUUGUCUGCAGACAGUUUUUCCGGGUCUGGUGAAACCAGAGCAGUGCAUGGAAACACCGUUUACCUUCCCGCUGGAGUGGUACCUAUUUAUCUACUUGCACUUUGACAUGCUUUCGAACCGCUAGGUUGGCAAGAGCUGGGACUGAACAAUGGGAGCUAAGCCCUUCAUGUAGAUUCGAACCGCUGACCUUCUGAUCGGCAAGCCCAAGAGGCUCCCCCCCCCCCCCAGGAGGGGGAUAGCAUUCCACAAGGCCGAUUCUUAUGUUGCUACCCUCCAAAACUCCUGUAUGAAAUAGGGCCUCAGAUAAUGGUCACAUGGUCCAGGUCAGUGCAUGUAGUGUAGAGGCAGUCCUUGAGGUCCUGAGGUCCUGAGCCACAUAAAGCUUUAUAGGUCAUAACCAGCCCUUUGAAUUGAGCCCAGAAACUAAGUACUGUGCCCACAAUUAACCACCUUUAACUACCUAACCCACAGUUUAUUUCUUAUGAGGCACUCACCAUACUAGAAAUAGGGUGUGCCAAGUGUCUUAGCUGCUGUUUCUGGUUUGCUUAUCUCUGAAUUAUGAUGCAUCAUCCCAGGAUCACUUGUGCCACCACAGAGGAUUCCUCUAAACACUUGCUGCCAGCCGCAUAGCAAGCAAUGUGGAAACCUCAAGUGCCAUUUUGCAUAUGGCGUAGAAAGAUGGAGCUCAAAAUAUGGGGCCCUGUUUGGGUACACAUUUUCUCUAUCCUGGACCCCGUGUGUGUACUGUAGUGGCAUAAAAUAUGAGAUUGGGACCCCCUAGUUCAAAUAUUGCCAUAGCCAUUAAUUUGCUAUCCCUCAUUUCAUCAUCUUUAAUAUGGAAUAGCAGUAUCUUAUGGGGUGUUCCACAUAUAUGUGAGUGUUUUGAACACUCUGCAGCUCUAAAUAAUUACUUUGUAUUGUACUUACUUUUAUGAGUAUGUUGACAAAUCAGCACCACUAGAGCAGCUUCACCAACCUGCCACUCUCCACAUGCUUUGCCCAGCAACUCCCAUCAGUCCCAGCCAACACAGAGGCUGAUGGGAGGUGUAGUCCAAAACAUCUGGCAAGUAACAGGUUUGUGAAGGUUACAUGAGAGUGUAUGUGUAAAAUACUUGAUUAAUUUACAGGAGCUUAACUGUCAUUACGUCCUUUGACUUGCCUAAGGAUAGUCAUUCUCUGCUUAAAAAUUUGCUAAUCAAUCCUUACUAGCGACAGGCCACUCAAAGGCUUCCAAGCCCAUUCUUUUAAAGCCUAUAAAAUGUCCAGGCUUCCUGGGUAUGGUGGCUGAUUACUUGGGCAAAGUAUUAGACUUGGCUGAGAAGAGAGCUGCUAACACGGAUCUUUGCCCCCCACCCUCUUUGCAUCCCGGAGUUGGACAAAGCACAGAGAAAGAUCUUUUGAAAACAAUGAAAAUUAAGCUAAAACUGAACUGAUAUUUUCAGCUGAGCCUCAGCAUGCAACAUUGCAUGGCUUCGUUGCUGUCUGUCCUGCAGUGCAGACCACCAGCAUUUCCAAUAAUACCAAGCAACAAUGCUGUUUGUGCGAUAAGGGAACAGCUGCCACUCUUAGGGUGUCUCAGUGUUUUAAAAGAGCCCAGCACAGGAAGUAACAACCACACUGCUACAAUCUGGCGAUCAGUGUUAUUCACAAAACAGCAAAGGGUGGGAAACUAUUCUUGACCCUUUCUAGCCUAAUGGCUAAUAUGGCCCUAUCGGCUCCCGUCAAGUGAUUGCUGCUGCCAAAUUAAACAAGAUGUAUAUUUUCUUUAAGAAGCAUUCUAUGUGCAUGUGAAAAAAGCCAACCUAAUGUUUUAAUCUUGUUUCACUGCACACACUAUUCCACUAGAGGUCAGCCUGCCACAGAACCCAAGCAGGAUGGGUUCUGUUAAGAAGCGCAAAACUGGCUGCUAUUUCCACCUCUCAAUCUAUUGACAAAGAUUCCUUCAGAGCCAUAAACUUAGGGCUCGCACUAAAAAACGGAGCAACAGGAAGAUAUAGCGAGGCAUUUCGUUUAUGAAUGACCUGUAAUAAAUUACUUUGAAGUAUUCUGAGUGACAAGAGAAAGGGAGAGGAUGCUUUGUCUGCAAACGAGCGACAUUUUACAUACUUUAAUUUGGCUGACACAUAAGGAUUAUUCGACAUUUGGCAGGGCCUUUCUCCCCUUCCCUCCCCACCCUCUCUUUUGGAAGGAUAUUUGGUUCUUGUUCAGCAUCAGGGUAUGGAGGUGUGGUAACCUGGGUAACCGGAGGUCAUUCCGGAGGAGAUUGUUGUCCAAGAUCAGCUCUUCCAAGCCGCUAAAUGUCUCCAGUCCUUCCAGUGACCUG